UCUCCUACUUGGAUAACUGUGGU
rnacentral:piRNA from 2 species